GCCAGUGUGGCUCUGUGGUUAGAGUGCUGGACUGUGCAUCAGAGGAUCUCGGGUUCGAUUCCUGGUCAAAGGCA
rnacentral:tRNA from 1 species